GAGCAUGCGCAGCAAGCAAAGUUUUGAAGCUGCGUCGAAUUUGCUGAAACUAAGAAGUAGAAAGACUGUUUACAUUUCACCUCUGGACAAAGAAUGAUUGAUUACUUCUACACAAUAAUACUAAGGAAAAAACUUGUGUCAGCUGUCUUCUCUGAGCAGCGGUCUUGUGAUCACCGGCCUCAGUAUAAUAAAGAUUUGACAGAACUACACACCCAUCUGAGGCCUACCUGUUUUAAUUCAUGAUCACCCCGGAUACUUCUACAACUAACCCGUUGGGUGUCUGAUGCUGAUGCAGUCUGGGCACUAGUAUCUGUUGUAGGGCUGCAACUAACGAUUAUUUUCAUAAUCGAUUAAUCGGACGAUUAUUUUUUCGAUUAAUCGGAUACAGUUUUUGUUUUAUUCAGUUUGAUUUUUUUUUGUUUAUUGUAACUAAAUAAAACCCUAAAUCAGGGUAUUUAUGUUUAAAAGUGUACUUUUAAAAAGUGCAAAAGCCACACAU